rnacentral:rRNA from 1 species
CGUACACUCCUGCGGGAGGCAGCAGUGGGGAAUAUUGGACAAUGGGCGCAAGCCUGAUCCAGCCAUGCCGCGUGAGUGAUGAAGGCCCUAGGGUUGUAAAGCUCUUUCACCGGUGAAGAUAAUGACGGUAACCGGAGAAGAAGCCCCGGCUAACUUCGUGCCAGCAGCCGCGGUAAUACGAAGGGGGCUAGCGUUGUUCGGAUUUACUGGGCGUAAAGCGCACGUAGGCGGACUAUUAAGUCAGGGGUGAAAUCCCGGGGCUCAACCCCGGAACUGCCUUUGAUACUGGUAGUCUUGAGUUCGAGAGAGGGGAGUGGAAUUCCGAGUGUAGAGGUGAAAUUCGUAGAUAUUCGGAGGAACACCAGUGGCGAAGGCGGCUCACUGGCUCGAUACUGACGCUGAGGUGCGAAAGCGUGGGGAGCAAACAGGAUUAGAAACCCUAGUAGUCCCAU